rnacentral:rRNA from 1 species
UACGGAGGGUGCGAGCGUUGUCCGGAAUCAUUGGGCGUAAAGGGCGCGUAGGUGGCGGGACAAGCGUGCGGUAAAAGCCUGGGGCUCAACCCCGGGUCGGCCGUGCGAACUGUUUUGCUUGAGCACUGUAGAGGCAGGCGGAAUUCCGGGUGUAGCGGUGGAAUGCGUAGAGAUCCGGAAGAACACCGGUGGCGAAGGCGGCCUGCUGGGCAGUAGCUGACACCGAGGCGCGACAGCGUGGGGAGCAAACAGG